AGCCUGAUGCGCCAUGCCGCGUGUGUGAAGAAGGCCUUCGGGUUGUAAAGCACUUUCAGUCGUGAGGAAGGUGGUGUAGUUAAUAGCUGCAUUAUUUGACGUUAGCGACAGAAGAAGCACCGGCUAACUCCGUGCCAGCAGCCGCGGUAAUACGGAGGGUGCGAGCGUUAAUCGGAAUUACUGGGCGUAAAGCGCAUGCAGGUGGUUUGUUAAGUCAGAUGUGAAAGCCCGGGGCUCAACCUCGGAAUAGCAUUUGAAACUGGCAGACUAGAGUACUGUAGAGGGGGGUAGAAUUUCAGGUGUAGCGGUGAAAUGCGUAGAGAUCUGAAGGAAUACCGGUGGCGAAGGCGGCCCCCUGGACAGAUACUGACACUCAGAUGCGAAAGCGUGGGGAGCAAACAGGAUUAGAUACCCUGGUAGUCCACGCCGUAAACGAUGUCUACUUGGAGGUUGUGGCCUUGAGCCGUGGCUUUCGGAGCUAACGCGUUAAGUAGACCGCCUGGGGAGUACGGUCGCAAGAUUAAAACUCAAAUGAAUUGACGGGGGCCCGCACAAGCGGUGGAGCAUGUGGUUUAAUUCGAUGCAACGCGAAGAACCUUACCUACUCUUGACAUCCAGAGAACUUUCCAGAGAUGGAUUGGUGCCUUCGGGAACUCUGAGACAGGUGCUGCAUGGCUGUCGUCAGCUCGUGUUGUGAAAUGUUGGGUUAAGUCCCGCAACGAGCGCAACCCUUAUCCUUGUUUGCCAGCGAGUAAUGUCGGGAACUCCAGGGAGACUGCCGGUGAUAAACCGGAGGAAGGUGGGGACGACGUCAAGUCAUCAUGGCCCUUACGAGUAGGGCUACACACGUGCUACAAUGGCGCAUACAGAGGGCGGCCAACUUGCGAAAGUGAGCGAAUCCCAAAAAGUGCGUCGUAGUCCGGAUUGGAGUCUGCAACUCGACUCCAUGAAGUCGGAAUCGCUAGUAAUCGUGGAUCAGAAUGCCACGGUGAAUACGUUCCCGGGCCUUGUACACACCGCCCGUCACACCAUGGGAGUGGGCUGCAAAAGAAGUAGGUAGUUUAACCUUCGGGGGGACGCUUACCACUUUGUGGUCAUGACUGGGUGAUCG
rnacentral:rRNA from 1 species